UACGAGGGGGGCAAAUGUUGUUCGGAAUUAUUGGGCGUAAAGGGUGCGUAGGCGGUUUGGUAAGUCUGAUGUGAAAUCUAUGGGCUCAACUCAUAGUCUGCAUCGGAAACUGCCGGGCUUGAGUGUGGGAGAGGUGAGUGGAAUUCCUGGUGUAGCGGUGAAAUGCGUAGAUAUCAGGAGGAACACCUGUGGCGAAAGCGGCUCACUGGACCAUAACUGACGCUGAUGCACGAAAGCUAGGGGAGCAAACAGG
rnacentral:rRNA from 1 species